ACGCCAGUCUGCAUGGAGCCGGCCUUGAAAUACCACCCUUUAAUGUUUGAUGUUCUAACGUGGACCCGUGAUCCGGGUUGCGGACAGUGUCUGGUGGGUAGUUUGACUGGGGCGGUCUCCUCCUAAAGAGUAACGGAGGAGCACGAAGGUUGGCUAAUCCUGGUCGGACAUCAGGAGGUUAGUGCAAUGGCAUAAGCCAGCUUGACUGCGAGCGUGACGGCGCGAGCAGGUGCGAAAGCAGGUCAUAGUGAUCCGGUGGUUCUGAAUGGAAGGGCCAUCGCUCAACGGAUAAAAGGUACUCCGGGGAUAACAGGCUGAUACCGCCCAAGAGUUCAUAUCGACGGCGGUGUUUGGCACCUCGAUGUCGGCUCAUCACAUCCUGGGGCUGAAGUAGGUCCCAAGGGUAUGGCUGUUCGCCAUUUAAAGUGGUACGCGAGCUGGGUUUAGAACGUCGUGAGACAGUUCGGUCCCUAUCUGCCGUGGGCGCUGGAGAACUGAGGGGGGCUGCUCCUAGUACGAGAGGACCGGAGUGGACGCAUCACUGGUGUUCGGGUUGUCAUGCCAAUGGCACUGCCCGGUAGCUAAAUGCGGAAGAGAUAAGUGCUGAAAGCAUCUAAGCACGAAACUUGCCCCGAGAUGAGUUCUCCCUGAGACUUAGAGUCUCCUGAAGGAACGUUGAAGACGACGACGUUGAUAGGCCGGGUGUGUAAGCGCAGCGAUGCGUUGAGCUAACCGGUACUAAUGAACCGUGAGGCUUAACCUUACAACGCCGAAG
rnacentral:rRNA from 1 species